rnacentral:rRNA from 1 species
UACAGAGGUGGCAAGCGUUGUUCGGAAUUACUGGGCGUAAAGGGCGCGUAGGCGGCCAUCUAAGUCAGACGUGAAAUCCCCCGGCUUAACCUGGGAACUGCGUCUGAUACUGGAAGGCUUGAGUAUGGGAGAGGGAUGUAGAAUUCCAGGUGUAGCGGUGAAAUGCGUAGAUAUUGGGAGGAACACCGGUGGCGAAGGCGGCAUCCUGGACCGGCAUUGACGCUGAGGAGCGAAAGCCAGGGGAGCAAACGGG